GCUGCGUGGCUCGCACGACCUGUUGAUGGUCGUCUCUUUCCCCGCGGAUGUAAGCUCGGCACGUCGCUGGCUUUUCCUUGCUCAUCGCCCGUGGAUAUAACAGAAACGAACCCACACCAUCCCUGUGCAACGCCGAAGACACGAUGGAUUCUCGUUCGCUCGGAUCUCGAUGGCUCCCUUGUUUCGUCGUCGUCGUCGUCUUACUCUGCGGCGUAGGUUUCACGCAUCCUGUCUCCGGGCGGAGCACCGGAGAGCCACGAUCAUUGACGGUUUCGUUGAAUGACUACGGCGGUGCACGAGCAAACCCAGGGCAUGAGCCGAAGCCCAAGGCAGUGCCCAAACUAAAGCACAGGGCAUGACCGAACCACGGCGUUGCUUCCUCUUUGUGGUGGUGCUCCUCCUCGUGUUGUGUGUGUGGAAAAAGGAGAGUUUACAGCGUUACUUCAUAAUGACCCUUUGUUUACCAAUAAAACGAGGCGUUUGUAA